GGGCCCGCACAAGCGGUGGAGCAUGUGGUUUAAUUCGAUGAUACGCGAGGAACCUUACCAGGGCUUAAAUGUAAGUUGCAUUAGUUAGAGAUAACUAUUUCUUCGGACCACUUACAAGGUGCUGCAUGGUUGUCGUCAGCUCGUGCCGUGAGGUGUCAGGUUAAGUCCUAUAACGAGCGCAACCCCUGUUGUUAGUUGCCAGCGAUUCAAGUCGGGAACUCUAACAAGACUGCCGGUGCAAACCGUGAGGAAGGUGGGGAUGACGUCAAAUCAUCACGGCCCUUACGUCCUGGGCUACACACGUGCUACAAUGGUAGGGACAAUGGGUUAAUCCCAAAAAGCUAUCUCA
rnacentral:rRNA from 1 species